rnacentral:rRNA from 1 species
UACGUAGGGCGCAAGCGUUAUCCGGAAUUAUUGGGCGUAAAGAGCUCGUAGGCGGUUUGUCGCGUCUGCCGUGAAAGUCCGGGGCUCAACUCCGGAUCUGCGGUGGGUACGGGCAGACUAGAGUGAUGUAGGGGAGACUGGAAUUCCUGGUGUAGCGGUGGAAUGCGCAGAUAUCAGGAGGAACACCGAUGGCGAAGGCAGGUCUCUGGGCCACUACUGACGCUGAGAAGCGAAAGCAUGGGGAGCGAACAGG